GUGAGGAAUUUUCCGCAAUGGGCGAAAGCCUGACGGAGCAAUGCCGCGUGAAGGAUGAAGGCCUAUGGGUUGUAAACUUCUUUUCUCAGAAAAGAAUUAUGACGGUAUCUGAGGAAUAAGCAUCGGCUAACUCUGUGCCAGCAGCCGCGGUAAGACAGAGGAUGCAAGCGUUAUCCGUAAUGAUUGGGCGUAAAGCGUCUGUAGGUUGUUUGAAAAGUAUUCUGUCAAAGAUUAGGGCUUAACCCUAGAUAGGCAGAAUAAACUUUUAAGCUAGAGUUUGGUAGAGGCAGAGGGAAUUCCCGGUGGAGCGGUGAAAUGCGUAGAUAUCGGGAGGAACACCAAAGGCGAAGGCACUCUGCUGGGCCAAUACUAACACUGAGAGACGAAAGCGAGGGGAGCAAAUGGGAUUAGAAACCCGAGUAGUCC
rnacentral:rRNA from 1 species